GUGCGGGACUGCUGCUCGGGUGUGAAGCGGCGGCGUAAAGGCUUGUUAAUUACCGCACUGCUUUGUUUCGCCAGCCCGAAGCCUUUUGUCAGAGGAGAAUUCAGUUCUGGCUGGUUCCUGUGCUGUCGGGGAUUGUUUUCUCUGCGGGCAGAUCAGUCCUGCUUCACAUCUCAUCGCCGUGUGACUCCAUCUUCGAUGUGUGGCAGGCUUGCCUUUCGCUCUCUCUCGUUUUGUUUUUGUUUGUUCUUUUUUUUUUUUAAUCAAUAAAACCAUCUCGUGCACCAAAAAAAAAAAGAAAAAGAAAAAAGAAAAAAACAAACAAAACCAAAACCAAGCCUACAACAAAAAACAAAACCGUCCCAAAACUGUGUUUGUCACUGACUGUGACCAAAUUAGCAAGUUAUUAAAUAGGCUAUUUUCAUUUCAUGCUUUUCACUAACUUGAAUGGGAACAGUGUUUGUCUGGCUUUGAAGUUUCUGUAAGUGGUUUUAGACUUGACUCUUUGUUGGCGGCUUUGAUACGUGAAGGGAAAGCUCUGCAAUGGUAAUGUGUCAGCUCAGCAAAUAUUGAUUCGCUCUUAAGGAACUGGUACUUUGCAGUAGGAAGAGCACACCUCUG